rnacentral:rRNA from 1 species
CCUACGGGUGGCAGCAGUAGGGAAUAUUGCUCAAUGGGGGAAACCCUGAAGCAGCAACGCCGCGUGGAGGAUGAAGGUUUUCGGAUUGUAAACUCCUUUUGUUAGAGAAGAUAAUGACGGUAUCUAACGAAUAAGCACCGGCUAACUCCGUUCCAGCAGCCGCGGUAAUACGGAGGGUGCAAGCGUUACUCGGAUUCACUGGGCGUAAAGAGGGCGUAGGCGGGUUUGCAAGUCAGCUGUGAAAUCCUAUGGCUUAACCAUAGAACUGCAUUUGAAACUGUUAUUCUAGAGUAUGGGAGAGGUAGGUGGAAUUCUUGGUGUAGUGGUAAAAUCCGUAGAGAUCAAGAGGAACACUCAUUGCGAAGGCGACCUGCUAGAACAUAACUGACGCUGAUGCGCGAAAGCGUGGGGAGCAAACAGGAUUAGAUACCCUUGUAGUC